UCUUUUUUUUUUUAAAAAAACAGUGCUAACGAGCAAGAAAUGGAUGAGCUAAUUUUUUAAGUUCUUCACUAGACUAUUACAUCAGGUAAACUGUAAACUCUUCACCAUUCAGUAGAAUAACAAUUUAAUUGUAAGCUGUUCAUUUUAUUCGUAAUGAAAUGAUUUAUAAUAAUUCAUGUUUACCUGAUUUUAGAUAACAAUUUUUUUUAAAAACUCCCUAUCCAAUUAAAUAACAUCACAUAAAUUGGAAGGGAGGGAAUACUACUAUUGUGAUAUAGUAUUAUCUGCAUUAUUCACAAGGACGCCUUUAGCAUUCUCUGGUUAUUUGAGAGAGUUUAUAACAAACUAGUUAUAAGACACAGAAGUACCAAAAUAUUAAUAAUAAUAAUAACAUCCCCAUGUGACUUGUGAGACUGAAAUGAAAAACUAGUCCCACAUCGCAAUAGGAAAUGAACUUUUAUCUCAUUUUGAAGGAAUGUGAGAGAGGACUUAACGCCGAGCUCAGUAAUGUGGGCUUGUAACUCAAAUGGGGGCAUUAAUGUGGUGGAAUGUUGGGCUGUCCCAUAAGGUAGGGCUUGGAGGGCUUAGUUUCUGGCCUGCCCUGUCCAAGCGUAGAGUUGGGUCACGUAGCCCAAGCGAAGGCAUGUGCUUCUUGAUCCCUAAAGUUGGGCGGACUGCGUGAGGCUGGUUUCACAGAGCAACGAUUAGCUUCCGCUCUGUGCAGUGGAAGGAUAACAGGCCGGUGUUCUCCAAGUCCAUAAAUGCCUCAUGGGCUUCUCCAAUUAAACCACCACUUUUUUGCUUAUUUGGUUGGCCUAUCCCCGACACUUGAAUCUAGCAGAAGGUGGGGCGGACUGCCUGAGGCUGGUUUCACAGAGCAACGAUCAGCUGUCGCUCUGUGCAACGAUCAGCUGUCGCUCUGUGCGGUGGUAGGAUAAUUGGCGGUGUUCUCCCCGAGUCCAACAAAUGCCUCAUGGGCUUCUCCAAUUAAACCACCACUUUUUUGCUUAUUUGGUUGCCUAUCCCCGACACUUGAAUCUAGCAGAAGGUGGGGCGGACUGCCUGAGGCUGGUUUCACAGAGCAACGAUCAGCUGUCGCUCCGUGCAGUGGUAGGAUAAUUGGCCGGUGUUCUCCAAGUCCAACAAAUGCCUCAUGGGCUUCUCCAAUUAAACCACCACUUUUUUGCUUAUUUGGUUGGCCUAUCCCUGACACGUGAAUCUAGCAGAAGGUGGGGCGGACUGCCUGAGGCUGGUUUCACAGAGCAACGAUCAGCUAUCGCUCCGUGUAGUGGCAGGAUAAUUGGCCGGUGUUCUCCAAGUCCAACAAAUGCCUCAUGGGCUUCUCCAAUUAAACCACCACUUUUUUGCUUAUUUGGUUGGCCUAUCCCCGACACUUGAAUCUAGCAGAAGGUGGGGCGGACUGCCUGAGGCUGGUUUCACAGAGCAACGAUCAGCUGUCGCUCUGUGCAACGAUCAGCUGUCGCUCUGUGCAGUGGUAGGAUAAUUGGCCGGUGUUCUCCAAGUCCAACAAAUGCCUCAUGGGCUUCUCCAAUUAAACCACCAUUUUUUUGCUUAUUUGGUUGGCCUAUCCCUGACACGUGAAUCUAGCAGAAGGUGGGGCGGACUGCCUGAGGCUGGUUUCACAGAGCAACAAUCAGCUGUCGCUCCGUGUAGUGGCAGGAUAAUUGGCCGGUGUUCUCCAAGUCCAACAAAUGCCUCAUGGGCUUCUCCAAUUAAACCACCACUUUUUUGCUUAUUUGGUUGGCCUAUCCCCGACACGUGAAUCUAGCAGAAGGUGGGGCGGACUACUUGAGGCUGGUUUCAUAGAGCAACGACCAACUCCCACUCCAAGCAGUGGAAGGAUAACGGGCCGGUGUUCUCCAAGUCCAACAAAUGCUUCAUGGGCUUCACCAAUUAUACCACCACUGUUGUACUUAUUUGGACUUAGCCCAGUCUAUCCCGACCUAAAUAUAUCAGAAGGAAAUUAUUUAGGGAAAAUUACGCUCUAAGUCUAUUUUUAAAAAUAUUUAUGCCACGUAGAUUAUACUUUGUGUAUAAACACCCAAUUUUCCCCAUAGUUGUGUAUAAACACACUUUAUACAAGGUUGAUACAUUAUGUAUAAUGCUUUUCCCCACAGGUAUAAUGUAGUAUAAUAUUGUAAAUUGGGCUACGUGGCAUAAUUUUUUUCAAAAACUGUAUAAUAUUGAAAUUUUUCCAUA